rnacentral:rRNA from 1 species
CUCAUUCAGUUUUGUCUUGCUUUUGCACAUAARAAAAAUMAGCACAACUUCUAACGGUGGACCCCUCGGCUCGUGCAUCGAUGAAGAACGCAGCAAACUGCGAUACGUAGUGUGAAUUGCAGAAUUCAGUGAAUCAUCGAGUCUUUGAACGCAAAUGG